rnacentral:rRNA from 1 species
UACGGAGGGAGCCAGCGUUGUUCGGAAUUACUGGGCGUAAAGCGCACGUAGGCGGCUAUUCAAGUCAGAGGUGAAAGCCCGGGGCUCAACCCCGGAACUGCCUUUGAAACUAGGUAGCUAGAAUCUUGGAGAGGUCAGUGGAAUUCCGAGUGUAGAGGUGAAAUUCGUAGAUAUUCGGAAGAACACCAGUGGCGAAGGCGACUGACUGGACAAGUAUUGACGCUGAGGUGCGAAAGCGUGGGGAGCAAACAGG